rnacentral:rRNA from 1 species
AUCAAUAAGCGGAGGAAAAGAAACCAACUGGGAUUGCCCUAGUAACGGCGAGUGAAGCGGCAAUAGCUCAAAUUUGAAAUCUGGCUCCCUUUGGGGGUCCGAGUUGUAAUUUGCAGAGGGUGCUUUGGCGUUGGUGGCGGUCUAAGUUCCUUGGAACAGGACAUCGCAGAGGGUGAGAAUCCCGUUUGUGGUCGCCUGCCUUCGCCGUGUAAAGCCCCUUCGACGAGUCGAGUUGUUUGGGAAUGCAGCUCUAAAUGGGAGGUAAAUUUCUUCUAAAGCUAAAUACUGGCCAGAGACCGAUAGCGCACAAGUAGAGUGAUCGAAAGAUGAAAAGCACUUUGGAAAGAGAGUCAAACAGCACGUGAAAUUGUUGAAAGGGAAGCGCUUGCAGCCAGACUUGCCCGUAGUUGCUCACCCAGGCUUUUGCCCGGGGCACUCUUCUGCGGGCAGGCCAGCAUCAGUUUGGGCGGUCGGAUAAAGGCCUCUGUCACGUAUCUUCCUUCGGGAUGACCUUAUAGGGGAGGCGACAUGCGACCAGCCCGGACUGAGGUCCGCGCUUCUGCUAGGAUGCUGGCGUAAUGGCUGUAAGCGGCCCGUCUUGAAACACGGACCAAGGAGUCUAACAUCUAUGCGAGUGUUUGGGUGUCAAGCCCGAGCGCGUAAUGAAAGUGAACGGAGGUGGGAACCCUUUGGGUGCACCAUCGACCGAUCCUGAUGUCUUCGGAUGGAUUUGAGUAAGAGCAUAGCUGUUGGGACCCGAAAGAUGGUGAACUAUGCUUGAAUAGGGUGAAGCCAGAGGAAACUCUGGUGGAGGCUCGCAGCGGUUCUGACGUGCAAAUCGAUCGUCAAAUUUGGGCAUAGGGGCGAAAGACUAAUCGAAC